rnacentral:rRNA from 1 species
AAUCAACGCUGGCGGCGUGCCUAACACAUGCAAGUCGAACGCGACUGGGGCUUCGGCCUCAGUUGAGUGGCGAACGGGUGAGUAACACGUGGGUGACCUACCUUCGAAUGGGGGAUAACGUCCCGAAAGAGACGCUAAUACCGCAUAAUGCAGCGGCACCUUAUGGUGAAUAGUUGUUAAAGCGGGGGAUCGCAAGCCUCGCGCCUGAAGAGGAGCCUGCGGCAGACAGCUUGUUGGUGAGGUAAUGGCUCACCAAGGCUGCGAUCUGUAGCUGGUCUGAGAGGACGGCCAGCCACACUGGCACUGACACACGGGCCAGACUCCUA